rnacentral:rRNA from 1 species
CCUACGGGUGGCUGCAGUGGGGAAUAUUGGACAAUGGGCGAAAGCCUGAUCCAGCCAUGUCGCGUGUGUGAAGAAGGCCUUCGGGUUGUAAAGCACUUUCAGUGGGGAAGAAAGCCUUGGGGCUAAUACCCUCGAGGAAGGACAUCACCCACAGAAGAAGCACCGGCUAACUCCGUGCCAGCAGCCGCGGUAAUACGGAGGGUGCGAGCGUUAAUCGGAAUUACUGGGCGUAAAGCGCGCGUAGGCGGUCUGUUAAGCCGGUUGUGAAAGCCCCGGGCUCAACCUGGGAACGGCAUCCGGAACUGUCAGGCUAGAGUGCAGGAGAGGAAGGUAGAAUUCCCGGUGUAGCGGUGAAAUGCGUAGAGAUCGGGAGGAAUACCAGUGGCGAAGGCGGCCUUCUGGACUGACACUGACGCUGAGGUGCGAAAGCGUGGGUAGCAAACAGGAUUAGAUACCCUGGUAGUC